rnacentral:rRNA from 1 species
AGCAGCCGCGGUAAUUCCAGCUCCAAUAGCGUAUAUUAAAGUUGUUGCAGUUAAAAAGCUCGUAGUUGAAUUUCGGGAUUGACGUGAUGGUCGUGCCUUACGGGGUAUGAACUGUUGCAGUCAAUUUCUCACCUUCUGGAGAAAUAUGAUGUCCUUAAUUGGGUGUCAUAUGGAACCAGAACUUUUACCUUGAAAAAAUUAGAGUGUUUAAAGCAGGCUUAUUGCUCGAAUACAUUAGCAUGGAAUAAUAAAAUAGGACGGCAUGGUUCUAUUUUGUUGGUUUCUAGGAUCACCGUAAUGAUUAAUAGGGAUAGUUGGGGGCAUUAGUAUUCAAUUGUCAGAGGUGAAAUUCUUGGAUUUAUUGAAGACUAACUACUGCGAAAGCAUUUGCCAAGGAUGUUUUCAUUAAUCAAGAACGAAAGUUAGGGGAUCGAAGACGAUCAGAUACGUCGUAGUCUUAACCAUAAACUAUGCCGACUAGGAAUCAGACGAU